rnacentral:rRNA from 1 species
UACGAAGGGGGCUAGCGUUGCUCGGAAUCACUGGGCGUAAAGGGUGCGUAGGCGGGUCUUUAAGUCAGGGGUGAAAUCCUGGAGCUCAACUCCAGAACUGCCUUUGAUACUGAAGAUCUUGAGUUCGGGAGAGGUGAGUGGAACUGCGAGUGUAGAGGUGAAAUUCGUAGAUAUCUGGAGGAACACCGGUGGCGAAGGCGGCAUCCUGGACCGGUAUUGACGCUGAGGCGCGAAAGCCAGGGGAGCAAAGCGGG